rnacentral:rRNA from 1 species
UACGUAGGGUCCAAGCGUUAUCCGGAAUCACUGGGCGUAAAGCGUGCGUAGGUGGCGCGUUAAGUGAGAUGUUAAAACGUGGGGCUCAACCCUGUCGGUGCAUCUCAUACUGGCGUGCUAGAGGACAGCAGAGGCAAGUGGAAUUUGUAGUGUAGCAGUGAAAUGCGUAGAUAUUACAAGGAACACCAAUGGCGAAGGCAGCUUGCUGGGCUACUCCUGA